rnacentral:SRP_RNA from 1 species
GCCGGGUGUGGUGGUGCGCACCUGUAAUCCCAGCUACUUGGGAGGCUGAGGCAGGAGAAUCACUUGAACUCGGGAGGCAUAGGUUGCAGUGAGCCAAGAUUGUGCCACUGCGCUCUAGCCUGGGCAACAGAGCAAGACCCUGUCUCAA